UGAAUAAAUCUACUUUUACUGAACUAUGGCUCAUUCUUGAAUUCUUUCCUGUGUGAAGCCAAGGACCCUCCCUUGGCAGGGUGCAUCCCAGGGACUCACCCGGGACCUGGGACACGACCAUCCUCUCGUGCCCCAUUUUCCUGCAUCAAAAGGACCUUCCAUAAUAAGCAUCACUCCUCUAAUCAGCUUUGGGGAAAAGGCUCCUACUCUGGACCAUGACUGUAACAACCUGAGUCAUUGGAAUGAAUAGAUGUUUGAGUGAAUGGUUUGUGAACUGGGGGAGACAAAACUCCCGCAGAAGAAAGAGCUACUGAAAAUUAAAACAGCUCUACAAAACGUUGUGAGGGAUGACGUAAAAGGAAGCAGCAUUCUGAAGAAAUGAAUACGUGUGCAAACGGCAGACCUGGAGCUCAGCUGUAGUGUUCUACACGGCUAGUAACAGUCAUAAUAAAAAUAAGGGUGUUGGGGCUGAUACAAGGAAAGUACAGUAAGGAUCUCUGAGUGCAAAGAGCUGAGAGAUUAUUUACCAAUGUGCGUUUAAAUAUUCCACAACUGCCAGCGCUGACUGCAUGUAUCAACUAAAAGGUGGGUAGCAAGGAAGGCUGUAUGGAAGAGAUGGCAUUUAAACCAAAGCUGGCAGUAAGGAUGGAAUUUGGACAUGAUGGGGGCAGAGUAAAGUAAUUUCAGAAUGAAUGAACAAGUGACCAAAGUGAAAAAGUGACUGGAAUUGAAAAAAUGUGGUUUAUGUGCACCUAUGUGUAAGGAUAGGGUACUUUAACCAGACAGUUUGUGUAAACUGUGACUAAAAAUUUACCUUGACUAUUAAAAAGCAAAUACAACCGAACACUUACAACUAAAUGUAUGUCAUUUCCUUCCAAAAUUAG